rnacentral:rRNA from 1 species
GAUGAACGCUGGCGGCGUGCCUAACACAUGCAAGUCGAGCGGAGAAGUGGAAGUACUUGUACGGAAACUUUUCAGCGGCGGACGGGUGAGUAACACGUGAGUAAUCUGCCUUUAACUGGGGAAUAACACAGUGAAAAUUGUGCUAAUACCGCAUAAUGUCGCGACCGGGCAUCCGGAUGUGACCAAAGGAGCAAUCCGGUUAAAGAUGAACUCGCGUCCGAUUAGGUAGUUGGUGAGGUAACGGCCCACCAAGCCGACGAUCGGUAGCCGAACUGAGGGGUUGAUCGGCCACAUUGGGACUAAGACACGGCCCAGACUCCUACGGGAGGCAGCAGUGGGGAAUAUUGGGCAAUGGGCGAAAGCCUGACCCAGCAACGCCGCGUGAAGGACGAAGGCCUUCGGGUUGUAAACUUCUUUGAUCAGGGACGAAUAAAUGACGGUACCUGAAGAACAAGCCACGGCUAACUACGUGCCAGCAGCCGCAGUAAUAC